UAUCGAUUGCAGGAUUAAGGUGCAUGUGAAUGUAUAAAAGGGAAUUUGGUGAAAAUCCAAAACUGUUUCCGCAACUGUGAGUACAGAUGAAAUGAGCAAUGCCACUGGGAUAACCGGGAAGGGCUCAAAGUAAAGUGAAGUACAAGUCAGGAGACCUAUCUUAAUCUUAUCGUUCAA
rnacentral:ncRNA from 1 species